UAAGUUCUGGUAGGACUAUAGGAAUAAAAAAUUCACUCUAUUUAGAACACUUAUCAUUGAGAUUUCCAAGCUUUUGAAAAACUUUAAUUAUAUAACUAAUCUAAAAUCAAAAUUUACAAUUGGUAUACUGUUUGCGGGGUCAAAUUUGAUUUCAAUAAGGUUGGUGGGUGCAUACAAAUGAUCUUUUGAUUAAACUAUUAUAUCCCAUGAUUCAUAUAUUCUAGAUGCAUCCAUAUUUGACUGAAAAUUAUAAUCCAAAAAGUUCGCCUUCUCUUUGCUACAAUUAUAUUUUCUUUCGCAAGUUAAGACUCCAUAGUGUCCUUUAAACUAAACAUGGGUUGUCAAGGAAAUUUCUCCUCUCGCACAUGAAACUUAACCAAAAUCAAUCUAUAAUUUUUUGUGGUUAUUUUCUCUUUGUGACUUAAUAUUUUGUAAUUGAAAAUGUAUGCAACAUCAGGGUGUAUACGUUCUUUGUAUCAUAAUGGAUUUCUUCUCCUUCUCAGUCCCCUUUUAAAUGUGUGCUGUUAAUUAACAUUGCGGGUUUAUAUCAGACUAGCCAGAUCAUAUCACAACUAAGAGCAUUGUUAUUCAUCGAGGGACACCUAUACCAUAUAUUGCACGAGUUAAGUUUUUAGUACCCAGUGAUAAAUAUUCCGACUUCCUUUUAAUAAUAUAGUUGUUGAUUUUCAUUGAUCUUAUGGUCAUACCAUUCUUAAUACAGACAUCCUGCUGGUAGCUAGCUCGGACACAAACUCUGCUGGUUUUGUUCUAUUUUUCGAUGUUGUUGCUGGUCCUUCUCCUGCUAUCGGUGAGCUUUUGGUCAUGUGUGCUGGACAAGAUUGUCAGCGGGUCACAGGGGCCGGGAAGGAAACAGCGUGGAAUGAUUUGUUUGCUGGACUGCUAUAUUAUUUUGUUUGUUGAACUGCUAUCAGGACAAAUCUACUCUUAACUAUUGAUUGUUUCUUUUUAAAAGUACAGGGAAUGUGAAGUAUUCUUAAUUAAUUCGGAAUAGGAUGUGAACCGUCCUUAGUUGUUUUAGAAUAGAAUGUGAAGUAUUCUUAGUUUGUUCAGAAUAGCAUACAACAAAACUAUUUUGGGUUCAGUUAGGCUACACCCAUAUAAUGGAUAUCAAUGUGUAACAUAUAGGUUCGUUGUUUAUACAAUAACCUGUAAUUUAUUUUUUCCCUAAGUUACUUAUGAUUUUUUCAUAUAUACAUUAGUUGUUGUGGCUUGAGCAGAUAACAAUGAUCGCCAUGGAAUUCAUGUAUAACUAAUACCAGUGUUUUCUCGCCAAAUAAAAUGAAGGGAAAGAAUGAUUUGUUUUUCAGAACUAAUCAUCUUAAAAUAUUUGCCUCUGUCGCGUUCAACUA